rnacentral:rRNA from 1 species
CCCUUAGAUGUCCGGGGCCGCACGCGCGCUACACUGAAGGAAUCAGCGUGGCUUUCUCCCUGACCCGAAAGGGUUGGGAAACCCGUUGAAUCUCCUUCGUGAUAGGGAUUGGGGCUUGAAAUUGUUCCCCAUGAACGAGGAAUUCCCAGUAAGCGCGAGUCAUAAGCUCGCGUUGAUUACGUCCCUGCCCUUUGUACACACCGCCCGUCGCUGCCAUCGGUGGACGGCCGAGCCAGGGCUUUGGACUGCGAGCGCCUGCCCUUCGUCUUCGGACGGGGAGUCGUUGCCCGCGGAAAAUCGUCCGAACUCGGUCGCCCCGAGAUAGCAAAAGUCGUAACA